rnacentral:rRNA from 1 species
GACGAACGCUGGCGGCGUGCCUAAUACAUGCAAGUAGAACGCAGUUGCGAACGGGUGAGUAACGCGUAGGUAACUGCCUCAUAGCGGGGGAUAACUAUUGGAAACGAUAGCUAAUACCGCAAACUGUGAGAUGGACCUGCGUUGUAUUAUGUAGUUGGUGAGGUAAAGGCUCACCAAGGCCACGAUACAUAGCCGGCCUGAGAGGGUUGUCGGGCACACUGGGACUGGGACACGGGCCAGACUCCUACGGGAGGCAGCAGUAGGGAAACUUCGGCAAUGGACGGAAGUCUGGCCGAGCAAAGCCGCGUGAGUGGAGGAGGUUUUCGGAUCGUAAAGCUCUGUUGUUAGAGAAACGGUAACUAACCAGAAAGGGACGGCUAACUACGUGCCAGCAGCCGCGGUAAUAC